AUUGAACGCUGGCGGCAUGCCUUACACAUGCAAGUCGAACGGUAGAGUAGCAAUACUCGAGAGUGGCGAACGGGUGAGUAAUAUAUCGGAACGUGCCCAGUCGUGGGGGAUAACGUAGAGAAAUUUACGCUAAUACCGCAUACGACCUAAGGAUGAAAGCGGGGGACUCGCAAGGGCCUCGCGCGAUUGGAGCGGCUGAU
rnacentral:rRNA from 1 species